GACGAACGCUGGCGGCGUGCUUAACACAUGCAAGUCGAACGGAAAGGCCCUGCUUUUGUGGGGUGCUCGAGUGGCGAACGGGUGAGUAACACGUGAGUAACCUGCCCUUGACUUUGGGAUAACUUCAGGAAACUUGGGCUAAUACCGGAUAGGAGCUCCUGCUGCAUGGUGGGGGUUGGAAAGUUUCGGCGGUUGGGGAUGGACUCGCGGCUUAUCAGCUUGUUGGUGGGGUAGUGGCUUACCAAGGCUUUGACGGGUAGCCGGCCUGAGAGGGUGACCGGACAAACUGGGACGGAGAUACGGCACAGACUCCUACGGGAGGCAGCAGUGGGGAAUAUUGCACAAUGGGCGGAAGCCUGAUGCAGCAACGCCGCGUGCGGGAUGACGGCCUUCGGGUUGUAAACCGCUUUCGCCUGUGACGAAGCGUGAGUGACGGUAAUGGGUAAAGAAGCACCGGCUAACUACGUG
rnacentral:rRNA from 1 species